rnacentral:hammerhead_ribozyme from 1 species
GUACUGAUGAAGAGUCCCAAACUGGGGGUGGGUGGGACGAAACAGCUGUCCACUAC